rnacentral:lncRNA from 1 species
AUCAGAUUGAGGAAAAAAGAAUUAAGAUAAAUUAUGUACAGGUAUAAAUUCCCUAUGAUGAAUGUGAUCAUUACAUAUAUCCAAAAUGUACCAAUAAAAUUACUUAAAAAGAAGAAAAAAUACAUGUAUUAGUCUAGCUAGCUAUGCUUAUCUUCUUAUAAAGAAGGUUUUAAUGUAUCAAACAAUUUAUAAUAUUCACCCAUUUAUUUAUUUAUUAAGGUCCUAUGUGUCACUCUACUCCCAUAGAGGAAAGCAAACAAAAAUUAAAUGAAAAAUUAAGUAUGUUAGAUGUUAUUAACUGCUUGGUUGAGACAAUAAAGUAGGUAAGGGGGAUUGGUAGUUCAUAUAGAUGUGAAUAGGUGUUCAUAUAGAAUAGAUAGUUCAUAUAGAAUAAGUAGUUCAUAUAGAUGUGAAGAGGAGCUCUAAGGUGGCUAUUUUAGUAUGGCUGGGAAAGGCCUGAGCAUAUAUAAGCAUACAAUGAAUGCCCUAAAUAUGAUGGAUCAGGAGGCAUGGGAAUGGAGAGAGCCAUAGGAUGGGAGGGAGACAGACAGUCAUCGGGAGCAAGAGUGAUCCAGGCAGAGCAAUCAGCAUAUUCCCAGGCCCUGAGUCAGAGACAUGCUUGAUGUACUUAAGGAAAGGAAGGUGACUAGUAGGAUUACACUAGGUCAGGACCUUCAGGAUUAACUCCCCUCUUGAAUAAACAGGGAGGGGAAAGGAGACCAGAAGGAGAGUCUACAGAGAAGCAUUGAAGAUUAAAGAAGCAGGAACACAGAAUUAAGAGUAGUUUGGACCAUUAUGAACAGCCAGAUUCUAAGUCACCUAGACAACAGGUGCACCCUCAGGAACAGUGGGAUAGAGGCUGAGAGAAAAGUGAGAAUCACAUCUGGGAACAGGUGCAGCCAGGAUGCCAGCCCAGGUCUUGCUCAAGCCUCAUGGAGGUCCACAAAAGCAGAGUGGCUCAUCAGUGGCAGUGCGGAUGGGUGUUACCUGGGAGCUGGUUAGAUAUGACAGUUUGAGACUCCACCUUGGGUCUCCUGCAUCUGCACUUCCUCAAGGUCCCCAGGCAAUUCUCAUACACAUUAAUUUGGGAGGUGCUGCUGCAUCCUGCUGCACUGAAGAUCCAGAGAACUGCAUCAGGACCAAAAGAAUCAUUGGCAGUUGGAAAAGGCAAGGACAACAUGGAACAAUACUUCCAGAGUGGGCUUCCACAGUCAAUACUUGGGUUGAACUCUGCAGAGUUGCAUUGCAGGUACCAGCUGCCCUUCCCCUGAAGAUAGUCCCGGUCCUGAUGGGAAGUGAAGAUGACUCCAACUUAUGCAGUACAGUGGUCUGGUGGUCCGGUGUCCUCUGCAUCUUUGUAGUGUGGAACUAAGUGGCCACACAGAGAAGAGGCCAGAGGAGGGGGAGGUGGGUGUCCAGUGGAUUGCUGCCAGGCGCGGGCCAAUUCCGCAUGUUCCGCAUGACUCACAACCUUGGUACCAAACUUUAUAAAUCUUAAGAUAGUUAACUCUAUGCUAUUACUGUUCAAUACUUUUCUAUCGUUAGUGGAGGUUUAGUGAACACAUUUAGCAAGUAUUUACUGUAUGUCAUUAUUUGGUUUGUCUUAGUGCUUACACUGUGAUUGCAGAUCUCUUUCAUAUAGUUUAGGGUUGUACAUUAUUAGUUCUUAGGGUAUGUCAAUAUCCAGUUUGUUUUUGACACUAUUAUUGUUGCUGAUUUUGUUGCUAUUGCCAGGUUGGCACAGUUUUUGGUAUUUACUGAUAUCCUAUGUAUACCAAUAUCUGAACUGCUUUUAUUUCAUUAAAAAAUACUGUGAUUCAUUCCCAGAGAAUUAGGUGCUAGGCCAAUUACACCACAUACUCCCCUCCCAAACUGAGGGAAGUGGUUGGAUCUUGGGAUAGAGAAAAAGUCCUAGGUUAACCACACCCAGGUGCAUCACUGAAAAGUAUACAUGUAAGAGGACUCCAUAACAGCAACAAAGUCUAUCCACUACAAUAGACCCUUAAUCCUUAGUACACACACACACACCCACACCCACACACAUAUAAAAAUAAAAAAUA